UCACAGUUUGCACUGGCAGUCUUGUUAGAGUUCCCGACACUACCCGCUGGCAACUAGAGACAAGGGUUUCGCUCGUUAAGGGACUUAACCCGACACCUCACAGCACGAGCUGACGACGGCCAUGCAGCACCUUGCAUCCUGCCCGAGGGAGGGCUGGUUUCCCAGCCUGUCAGGAUGCAUUUAAGCCCAGGUAAGGUUCCUCGCGUAUCAUCGAAUUAAACCACAUGCUCCACCGCUUGUGCGGGCCCCCGUCAAUUCCUUUGAGUUUCAACCUUGCGAUCGUACUCCCCAGGUGGAUUACUUAUCACUUUCGCUUGGGCACUGACCGUAUAUCGCCAGCACCGAGUAAUCAUAGUUUACGGCGUGGACUAC
rnacentral:misc_RNA from 1 species